AUGAAGCCGUUACUUGUAUUCCUUCUCCUGCUAGCCGCCCCCUCGUGGGUCCUGUCACAAGUGCAGCUGGUGGAGUCAGGUCCCGGGACUGUAAAACCCUCAGCGACUCUCAGCCUCACCUGCUCCAUCUCAGGCGCCUCCUCGGACACCCUGGGCAGUAGUUGCUGCUGGUGGAGCUGGAUCCGGCAGAGUCCCGGGAAAGGGCUGGAAUGGAUCGGGGAUAUAGCUCAAGGGGGAAGCACAAACUACGCCGCUUCCCUCCAGAGUCGCACCACCAUCUCGGUGAACCCUUCCAAGAACCAGUUCUCCCUGGAGCUGCGCUCGCUGACAGCUGCAGACAGCGGCACCUAUUACUGCGCUAGAUACACAGUGACACAGAGCAGAGCGGGACUGGCACAAAAAGGGGAAGCGGAUUUCUAA